GACGAACCGUGCAAACGUUGUUCGGAAUCACUGGGCUUAAAGGGCGCGUAGGCGGGCGGGCAAGUCAGGGGUGAAAUCCCACGGCUCAACCGUGGAAGUGCCUUUGAUACUGCUCGUCUGGAGGGAGGUAGGGGCGUGCGGAACUUCCGGUGGAGCGGUGAAAUGCGUAGAUAUCGGAAGGAACACCGGUGGCGAAAGCGGCGCGCUGGACCUCUACUGACGCUGAGGCGCGAAAGCCAGGGGAGCAAACGGG
rnacentral:rRNA from 1 species